rnacentral:lncRNA from 1 species
CUGCAUCGGACAACACUCAACUCGGGAUUGGCACCCAGCCAGUGCCCUACACUAUACAAGAUGCCACUGUAGGGACAGGGAUGACCUCUAGCAAGGUGACCCUCAGUGGGCCAGAGGGGGCUUCUGAAGAGAAUUUCUCUAGCUUCUUGGUGUUUCCUGCCUGCUACUUUCAAACAAGGGUCCCAUUUUUAAUGUUUUCCCAGUAAUACCUUAUGAAUGUUAUUGCAAAGCGGGCUAAAUCAACACCACAGGCCCCGUGAUCAAUAUAUGUGAUGAGGACAUUACAUCCUGGUGUUGUUGCCCCAAGUCUUGACGUGAAUCUGACCACAAGGACAAUUCGGACAACCUGAAAUGGUGACGCAUUCUACAAAAUAAACAUCAAUGUCAUGAAAGACAAAGACUCAAGAUUUUCUGCUUAAUGGAGACUAAAGAGAUGCGACAACAGAAUGCCAGGCAUGAUCUUGGAUAUUCUUUUGGCUCAAACAGUCUUAGGACAAUUGAAAAAACGUGAAUGAGGUCUGUAGCUAAUAGAAUUGUGUCAAUGCCACAUCCUUGGUUUUGUUAAUUGCAUUGUGGUUACAGAAGAGAAUCCCUUUGUUUUCAGGAAAUGCACACAGCAGUAUUUAAUAGUAAAGGCACAUCUUGUCUGCAA